rnacentral:rRNA from 1 species
UGGGGAAUUUUCCGCAAUGGGCGAAAGCCUGACAGAGCAAUGCCGCGUGGAGGUGGAAGGCCUACGGGUUGUCAACUUCUUUUCUCAGAGAAGAAACAAUGACAGUAUCUGAGGAAUAAGCAUCGUCUAACUCUGUGCCAG